rnacentral:rRNA from 1 species
GUGGGGAAUCUUCCGCAAUGGACGAAAGUCUGACGGAGCAACGCCGCGUGAGUGAUGAAGGUCUUCGGAUUGUAAAGCUCUGUUAAUCGGGACGAAAGAGCCUAGUGUGAAUAAUGCUAGGAAGUGACGGUACCGGAAUAGAAAGCCACGGCUAACUACGUGCCAGCAGCCGCGGUAAUACGUAGGUGGCAAGCGUUGUCCGGAAUUAUUGGGCGUAAAGUGCGCGCAGGCGGAUCUGCCAGUCUGUCUUAAAAGUUCGGGGCUUAACCCCGUGAUGGGAUGGAAACUACAGAUCUAGAGUAUCGGAGAGGAAAGUGGAAUUCCUAGUGUAGCGGUGAAAUGCGUAGAUAUUAGGAAGAACACCAGUGGCGAAGGCGACUUUCUGGACGAAAACUGACGCUGAGGCGCGAAAGCCAGGGGAGCGAACGGGAUUAGAAACCCCAGUAGUCC